rnacentral:ncRNA from 1 species
CUAGAUUCCGAAAGUCGUGACUGAGAGGUCGAUCGACCACAUUGGGAAUGAAAAAAGCCCAAAGCGCAAAGCACAGCAGUGGGGGAUAUUGGUCAAUAGUCUAACGACUGAACCAGCAACUUGAAAGAAUGAAUGUCGAAUAUAGAUUAAAAUUCUAUAUAUAUAGAGAUAAUGACCAUAUAUAUAUACUAGUAUUGGCCAAAUUACGUGCCAGCAGCCGCGGUAACACGUAGAAUACAAGCGUUAUUCAUCUUUAAUCGGUUUAAAGGGUACCUAGACGGAAAAUCAAGCCUGCGUACAUAAGGGACUAAUUUUCUAGAGUUUUAUGAAGGAAAGUUGAACUGGCGGAGUAAAGUUACAAUUUGCAAAUACCGUUGAUACAGACCACUGUGAAAACGACAUUCUAUGUAACAACUGACGUUGAGGGACGAAGCCCCGGGGAGCAAUAAGGAUUAGAGACCCUAGUAGUCCGGGGAGUAAAUUAUGAGUGCCAUAGGCUAGAAUGAUAUUAGUUUAUAAAUGAAAGUGUAAGCACUUCACCUCAUGAGUAUAGCGGCAACGCCGGAAUUGAAAUCAUUAGACCGUGUC